CUAUAGGUUAUAGAUGAGUAUAUUCAAAAAGUUGAUCCUAAAUCAGAUGGUGCAAAGUGGGACUAGGUUGCUAUUUAUGACGAGUGUGCAGCCAUUUUAUAUCAGAUUCUAGGUUUAUUGGUUAUUGUGAUUCUAGAUCAUUAUCUUCCUAAGAGAUUCAUUGCUAAUUUGAUUGUACUUCUGAUAUUUGGUUUUCUUGGCUACAUGUGCAUUUCAGAGAGACACAAUUCAAGCUGUGACAAAUUUUGCCAAACGGAAUAAAUUGCCUAUUCUCAUGCAAAAACAGAUGAUUGCACAUUUGCAUAUGAAGUACAGAACUGAUAUAGAAGGGCAGCAGCAGCAAGAGUUUAAAUACAUAUUCAUAUUCCAUUUAAAUACAUUAUUAGAUAUUAACAUAGUUUAGGGAACUGGAUGGUAGAUUUGACUGAUUAGUGUUUAUUGCAAUGCUUGUAUUUUGGUAAGUUUAGUAAGACAAGGUUUUGUAUAGGAGUUAUUACUUUUGAUUUUCAAUAAUAAAAAAUUAUAUAUUAUAUUAA